rnacentral:rRNA from 1 species
GAUGAACGCUGACAGAAUGCUUAACACAUGCAAGUCUACUUGAUCCUUCGGGUGAAGGUGGCGGACGGGUGAGUAACGCGUAAAGAACUUGCCUUACAGACUGGGACAACAUUUGGAAACGAAUGCUAAUACCGGAUAUUAUGACUGAGUCGCAUGAUUUGGUUAUGAAAGCUAUAUGCGCUGUGAGAGAGCUUUGCGUCCCAUUAGUUAGUUGGUGAGGUAACGGCUCACCAAGACGAUGAUGGGUAGCCGGCCUGAGAGGGUGAACGGCCACAAGGGGACUGAGACACGGCCCUU